rnacentral:rRNA from 1 species
GAUGAACGCUGGCGGCGUGCCUAAUACAUGCAAGUCGAGCGAACAGACGAGGAGCUUGCUCCUCUGACGUUAGCGGCGGACGGGUGAGUAACACGUGGAUAACCUACCUAUAAGACUGGGAUAACUUCGGGAAACCGGAGCUAAUACCGGAUAAUAUAUUGAACCGCAUGGUUCAAUAGUGAAAGACGGUUUUGCUGUCACUUAUAGAUGGAUCCGCGCCGCAUUAGCUAGUUGGUAAGGUAACGGCUUACCAAGGCAACGAUGCGUAGCCGACCUGAGAGGGUGAUCGGCCACACUGGAACUGAGACACGGUCCAGACUCCUACGGGAGGCAGCAGUAGGGAAUCUUCCGCAAUGGACGAAAGCCUGACGGAGCAACGCCGCGUGAGUGAUGAAGGUCUUCGGAUCGUAAAACUCUGUUAUUAGGGAAGAACAAAUGUGUAAGUAAAUAUGCACGUCUUGACGGUACCUAAUCAGAAAGCCACGGCUAACUACGUG